rnacentral:rRNA from 1 species
CAGCCGCCGCGGUAAUACAGAGGGUGCAAGCGUUAAUCGGAUUUACUGGGCGUAAAGCGUGCGUAGGUGGCUGUUUAAGUCGGAUGUGAAAGCCCUGGGCUUAACCUGGGAACUGCAUUCGAUACUGGAUAGCUAGAGAUCGGUAGAGGGCAGCGGAACUCCGGGUGUAGCGGUGAAAUGCGUAGAUAUCCGGAGGAACACCGAUGGCGAAGGCAACUGCCUGGGCCUGAUCUGACACUGAGGCACGAAAGCGUGGGGAGCAAACAGGAUUAGAUACCCCAGUAGUCCCUGUCUCUUAUAC